rnacentral:rRNA from 1 species
GUGAACGCUGGCGGUAGGCCUAACACAUGCCAGUCGAACGGCAGCACAGUAAGAGCUUGCUCUUACGGGUGGCGAGUGGCGGACGGGUGAGGAAUACAUCGGAAUCUACUUUUUCGUGGGGGAUAACGUAGGGAAACUUACGCUAAUACCGCAUACGACCUACGGGUGAAAGCAGGGGAUCUUCGGACCUUGCGCGAUUGAAUGAGCCGAUGUCGGAUUAGCUAGUUGGCGGGGUAAAGGCCCACCAAGGCGACGAUCCGUAGCUGGUCUGAGAGGAUGAUCAGCCACACUGGAACUGAGACACGGUCCAGACUCCUACGGGAGGCAGCAGUGGGGAAUAUUGGACAAUGGGCGCAAGCCUGAUCCAGCCAUACCGCGUGGGUGAAGAAGGCCUUCGGGUUGUAAAGCCCUUUUGUCGGGAAAGAAAAGCAGCAGGUUAAUACCCCGCUGUUCUGACGGUACCCAAAGAAUAAGCACCGGCUAACUUCGUG